rnacentral:rRNA from 1 species
GAGCAAGAGCCCGGAGAUGGAACCUGAGACAAGGUUCCAGACCCUACGGGGUGCAGCAGGCGCGAAACCUCCACAAUGUACGAAAGUGCGAUGGGGGGAUCCCAAGUGCUAUUCUUAACAGAAUAGCUUUUCAUUAGUGUAAAAAGCUUUUAGAAUAAGAGCUGGGCAAGACCGGUGCCAGCCGCCGCGGUAAUACCGGCAGCUCAAGUGGUAGCUGUUUUUAUUGGGCCUAAAGCGUUCGUAGCCGGUUUAAUAAGUCUUUGGUGAAAGCUUGUAGCUUAACUAUAAGAAUUGCUGGAGAUACUAUUAGACUUGAAGUCGGGAGAGGUUAGAGGUACUACCGGGGUAGGGGUGAAAUCCUAUAAUCCUGGGAGGACCACCUGUGGCGAAGGCGUCUAACUAGAACGAUCUUGACGGUGAGUAACGAAAGCCAGGGGCGCGAACCGGAUUAGAUACCCGGGUAGUCCUGGCCGUAAACGAUGUGGACUUGGUGUUGGAAUGGCUUCGAGUUGUUCCAGUGCCGAAGGGAAGCUGUUAAGUCCACCGCCUGGGAAGUACGGUCGCAAGACUGAAACUUAA